UGGAAUAUAGCAAGACAGUGAAUACGACGAAAUACAUCACGAUACACUGAAAUAUAAUGAAAAAAGUCAAUGAAUACAAUGAAAUACAUGGAAAAUACAACGAGAUACAUUGAAAUACACUUAAAAAAAGGUUACAGAAUCUUCAAGUUGCUCAGGCCCAAAUUCCGUCAUCUCGUUCAAGGACAACCCUAAUAUCGCACCUCACGUGUAUGUUCCUUGAAGGCACGAAUCAGGUUGUUGGUGGGAGGAAAAGAAAGGUCGUAGAGUGGCAGAAAUAAGGCAGACUUCAAUCCAUAUUUUACCCAUUUCAAGAAAGGCUUCAUGCUUGAUUGAUACAAAUGUUGACAGAAUAUGUGUUCCUCAAAGGUUCUUUCCUUGACUUUUUCAGUAAGGAUUAUAAUUUUGCCCAUCUUUAUCAUUGAUUCGCCAAAAUCCUUGAAGAAAGUAGAUGCAAAAAAAUUCAUGUUGACUACUCAGAAGAACGUUCUAUGGAGGAACUGAUGAAAU
rnacentral:lncRNA from 1 species